GAUGAACGCUAGCGACAGGCUUAACACAUGCAAGUCGAGGGGCAGCACGGGAGUAGCAAUACAACUGGUGGCGACCGGCGCACGGGUGAGUAACGCGUAUGCAACCUACCUAUCAGAGGGGAAUAACCCGGCGAAAGUCGGACUAAUACCGCAUAAAACAGGGGCACCGCAUGGUGAUAUUUGUUAAAGAAAUUCGCUGAUAGAUGGGCAUGCGUUCCAUUAGGUAGUUGGUGAGGUAACGGCUCACCAAGCCGACGAUGGAUAGGGGAACUGAGAGGUUGGUCCCCCACACUGGUACUGCGACACGGACCAGACUCCUACGGGAGGCAGCAGUGAGGAAUAUUGGUCAAUGGGCGGGAGCCUGAACCAGCCAAGUCGCGUGAAGGAAGAAGGAUCUAUGGUUCGUAAACUUCUUUUGCAGGGGAAUAAAGUGCAGGACGUGUCCUGUUUUGUAUGUACCCUGAGAAUAAGGAUCGGCUAACUCCGUGCCAGCCGCCGCAGUAAAAC
rnacentral:rRNA from 1 species